GAGCAGGAUGAAGCGAAAGUAAAAUUUCGUGGAGGUCCGAACCCACGAGCGUUGAAAAGCUCGGGGAUGACUGGUGGGUAGCGGUGAAAUUCCAAUCGAGCCCGGAGAUAGCUGGUUCUCCCCGAAAUAGCUUUAGGGCUAGCCUCAAGGUGAGAGAUACGGAGGUAGAGCACUGAAUGUCCUAGGGGGUAUUGCACCUACCGAAGACUAUCAAACUCCGAAUGCCGUCAUCUUAUACUUGGGAGUCAGACUGUGGGUGAUAAGAUUCAUAGUCGAAAGGGCAACAGCCCAGAUCGUCAGCUAAGGUCCCUAAAUGUAAGUUAAGUGGUAAAGGAUGUGGGAUUGCACAGACAACCAGGAUGUUGGCUUAGAAGCAGCCACUCAUUCAAAGAGUGCGUAAUAGCUCACUGGUCGAGUGAUCC
rnacentral:rRNA from 1 species